AAUCAGCCGAAUUCCCACACACCUGGGAAACGGGGGAACCAGUUAUGGGUGAAUUGAUCCGCAUUAUAGGGAUCAUAGGGAACCUUCAACCGAAUCCUUAAGCUAACCUCGCAGGCCUUGGAAGGAG
rnacentral:sRNA from 1 species